UACGUAGGGCGCGAGCGUUGUCCGGAAUUACUGGGCGUAAAGAGCUCGUAGGUGGUUUGUCGCGUUGUUCGUGAAAACUCACAACUCAAUUGUGGGCGUGCGGGCGAUACGGGCAGACUGGAGUACUGCAGGGGAGACUGGAAUUCCUGGUGUAGCGGUGGAAUGCGCAGAUAUCAGGAGGAACACCGGUGGCGAAAGCAGCUUCUGGGACGGUACUGACGCUGGAGGAGCGAAAGCAUGGGGAGCAAACAGG
rnacentral:rRNA from 1 species